rnacentral:rRNA from 1 species
UACGUAGGGUGCAAGCGUUGUCCGGAAUUAUUGGGCGUAAAGAGCUCGUAGGCGGUUUGUCGCGUCGAAUGUGAAAACCCGGGGCUCAACCCCGGGCCUGCAUUCGAUACGGGCAGACUAGAGUUCGGUAGGGGAGUCUGGAAUUCCUGGUGUAGCGGUGAAAUGCGCAGAUAUCAGGAGGAACACCAAUAGCGAAGGCAGCUCGCUGGGACGUUACUGACACUGAGGCGCGAAAGCGUGGGGAGCAAACAGG